CAAAGUGCUGGGAUUACAGGCCUGAGCCACUGCACCCAGCUGCAGUAUAUUUCUUAAUGCAAUCAAGAAACAUACUGAGCAUAAAAUGCAGUUUUUGAGAUGCUGGGCAAGGAGGAUCUUUCUCUUUAUCAAGUUCCCAUUCCCCUUUUGGGCCAAAACCCACUCUUCUAUGUCUCUGGUGUUGGAGGAAGAGUAAUAUUAGAGAUGACACAAGUUUUUAGUGAUUUGUUCCUGUGGGAAAAAAUGGCUUACAAAGUGUAUUCCAUGGGCUACCCAUGCCAGAAUUAGCAAUGCUGGUUAAAAUGCAGAUACCUGGAGCUCACCCAAUCUACUGAAACUCUCCAGGAGCAAGCCCAGGAAUCUCUAUUUUAAGUAAAUUUUCUGAGAAAUUCUAAAACACAGUGAAGUUUGAAAACCUCUACCUAAAUCAGAGUUCCCAAAUUCAAUUGCUCACAGGUGCCAAAUGAGUAACUAAAACAAAGUGUGUAUGUAUUAGUGAGCUACUGCUGGGCAAGAAACCACACCAAGCUCAAGACUUAAAAUAAGUGUUUGGUAUUGCUCACAAGUCUACAAAUCAACUAAGUGGUUUUGCUGCUCUGGGCCAAACACAGCUGAUCUUGCUGCACUCAGCUGGCCCAUCAGGUGAAGGCUCGCUGGGCUAGAGUAGCCUAGCUGGCAGCUGGGGCACCAGAGUUGACAGGGCCAUGAGUCUCUUGUUAUCCAACAGGCUGACCCAGGCUUGUUCUCAGGUAGCUGAGAACAAGAAUGCAAGCAGACACGCACAAGGCUCAGAACUGACAUGCUAUCACUUCCUUACCAUUCUAUGAGCCAAAGCAAGUGGCAAGGCCUUGACAAGUCAGGGGGUGAGAAAGAAGCCUCCACCUCUUGACGGAAAGAGCCGCAUCACAUUGCAAGGUGAAUGGGGCAGUAGAAGGGGGAGAAUGGGGGGUGAAUUAUGCUAACCUCUACCUCUGUUAUCACAUGACAUCCUCCCCUGUGUAUCUCUCUAUGCCUUCUCUUCUUAUAAGGACACCAGUCAUUGGAUUUGGGGCCUAUUCUAAAUCCAGGAUUAUUUCAUCUGAAGAUUCUUAGCUAAUUACACCUGCAAAGACCCUAUUUCCAAAUAAGGUUUUGUUCUGAGGUUCUGGGUGGACACUAGCAGGUUGCAUAAUGUCCAAUGUACUACAGAGGCUUCAAUAAAACAGAAAAGUUAUUUUGCUCCCAUAAUAAGAAAUCCAGCAAGAGAGAGCCAUUGGCAUGGUGGCCCAGUGCCCCAGGAUGUCCGAGCUGACCUGUCUGACAUUCCCCUGGCCUUUACCUAAUGGCUGCUGUGGCUCCAACCCUCAUGUCCACAGAAAGGAGGUGGGGGGAGAAGGACAGUGACCUUCUAUCUGUGACCCUUUGUAUCAGAAAAGCAAACUUUUUCCAAGAAACCUUGCGUUAGAUUUGUCCUCAAAUCUUGUUGACUAGAGCUGGUUUUAAGGCCACUCCGAGUGCAAGAGAGUCUGAGAAAUUGAGACACAGGAUGAGACACAAAAUGAUCAUGAAUGACCUAAACCAAUCAUGAGCCACUGUUUGUGCUGGUCUUAUGUUGAAAGGAACUGGGUCUGUUAGUAAAGAAGCAGGAAGUGGGUCUCAUAUAGAGCCAAUGUCUGCCGCCUGCAGUCUCUUCUAAAUUCAGUCUAUACAAGUCUGGUUCUGAGAGCCUGCAAAGACCCUGUUUCCAAUAAGGUCUUUUUCUGAGGUUCUGGGUGAAUGUGAAUUUUGGAAGGAUACUUUCUGGCCUACUACAGAGGCUUCAAUGUUCUGAUGAAAUUCAGUUUUCGACCUUGAAUAGAGUAUCCCCACCAAGAGAGUGCAACCCACAAGAAAUAGCCUCUUCUUCCCAACCACUCUGGAGCAGGGUUGUCAACCAGAGCUGACUGUCUCCCCCAGGGGACAUGUGGCAAUAUCUGGAGACACUUUGGACUGUCAAGACUGGGGGUAGUUGCUGGGUCCCAGGGUCAAGCACACACAGAUGACAAAUUCGGUCUCUGAGUGAGGGCCCAAAGAAGCUCUCAGCGCAUGUGUGAUGUACACAUGUGUGCAGGGUACUAGUGGGAGACAGAGGAAGGGGACCCAGAGGUGUUGCCAGACUGAUCCUAGAAGAUGCAGAGAAUUAGCCUAACAGAGGAAGGACGUUCCAGGAUGAGGAUCGGCCAGAGAAGCAGCCCUGAGUACAGAAAUGCCCUGAGCUCUCAGUGGCCAGGGCCCAUGCAUGACAGCAGAAAUCGAAUGUGAGGCUGUGGACCAAGGCCAGGCACAGGUAGAGUGUGCCAUGUGACAGCACUUUUGCGGGUGCCAGUAAAAGCUGUACCCCGAAGAGGUAUGGUCUGACAUGCGUUUUAAGAAAAGUUCACUUUGUCUUAACAGAUGGAAUUAUGAGAGGGCAAGAUUGAAGAUGGAGAUAAAGGUUGGGGGAAUGGCUGGUUGAGAGUAAUGUAAAAUCAGUAAUGGUAUGGACAGUGUUAGGUGUGGAAAAAAUUAUUUAGGAGAAAAUAAAUUAGGAUCAGUCAUUAUAGUUGCUAUAAGAAACAAUGUCAAAUCAGAGUGGCAUGAUGUGUUAGGAGUUUAGUUCUUAUUCACUUCCCAGUCCACUGUGGGCCUGCCAUGGGGCCUAGGGUAUGGGGAAGGAGAACUCUGCCUCAGACAGUCAUUCAGGGAUCCUGGCUCUUUCAUGCAAAAGUUCUGCCAUUCCCUUAGGCCCUGGAGUUUUCAGCUAGUUUUCUGCAGAGGGUCAGCAAAGGGGUGAAGGGAAGAAAUAGGAUGGAGCAUCCUGCUGGAGGAUUAGGGUUCAGGCCUGGGGGGGUGGCCAGCACAUCACUCACAUGCCUAUCUUGCUGACCAGAACUCAGACAUGUGGCCCCAUCUAACCUGGGGGAGGCUGGAAUGUAUAGCCCUGCUGAGAGCCCAGGACAAAAAGGAGCUGGAUCUGGCAAGCGCACCGCACUGACUUUACCAUAACAUGUUUAGGAGGUAAAUCAUCAGGGCUCUAUAACUGAUUCACCGUGGAGGACAGAGAAAGGAAAAACCAGAGAGCUUCCAGGUUUCCACCAAGGAGUUUGGAACAGGAUGCCUUAGAUGGUGAAUACAGCAGCCACUGCCUGAGCAAGAGAGAGCUGGACACAGAGACUUGCAUUUAGAAGAGAAGCUGGUCUGGAAAGGGCCGUCAGGGAGCAAGCCCUGCCUGGCUGGCAUGUAGCAGAGCUGCAUGGGGGAGGCCUCACAGGCCCUGCCAGGCAGCCCGGGAGGCGCAGGCCGCCCUUAGAGACAAGACAGAGGCUGGACACAGAGCCUGACUGGCCGAGACCUUUCCAGUGAAUUCUGUGCCACCAGAAGGACAGGCGUAGGUGACGGCUGGUGCCCUCACUAGGUCACAGUGAGCUGUUUGUUGAGAAAAGUGCUGCUUGUAAUUUUACUUUCCCUCUGAAUGAUAGUCGCUUCUUUCUGAAUGUUAGCCAUUACACAUAUGCUGGCUAAAAUCACAAAGGCCACAGCAGCACAAAGGCCGGGGCAGGCAGGGGUGGGAGAAGCACCGGACACAUGCAUUCCAAACAUGGCGGCAGCCCUGAACAUGAGUGAGUGACCAGGGAAUCCACUUCCAAGGUUUUCCUCACUUGCAUAAUCAUCCAUUGUGAAAAGUGAUUCAGUACCAACAAAGACAUGACCACAAAACCGCUGUUUAGGGAAAAAUACAGGAGAGGUCAUUAUUCACGGCUGUUGUUUACUUCUUUGAAUUGGAAGAGUGGUUUUAGCUGUGAAAUGCCUCCAUGUAGCUGGGAGAGCAUGGGCUCUUCUAUGGGAGUAUUUGAGGACCUCAACCCUGGAUCCGGACUCUGGUUUGCAAUUGCAGUUCAAGAUGUCGGUAUUCAAAGGAGGGAGGCCAGGAGAACACAGGCACCUACACAAAGGGGUUUGCAGGAGGUGUGUGACUGCUGGAGGCUGUCCGCGGCGCACUACUUCUCCCUGCAGACGCCUGGGAAAGCACAGUGCAUACUGUCACCACCUG